CCCGUAUCCCACCAUAGGUGGGUAAGCUGAUUGUGGGUACAUCUGUGGAUAGCCGUGCACUGGUUCAUACACCAUCUUCGCAACCUCCGGGUUCGGAGCAAAAUCUACUUUCUUCGGAGCUUCUUGUUUUGGCUUCUCCGCCUCUUUAGGUUUCCCCUCCGGUGGCUUCCCUGCAUCCUUCGGUUUAGCCUCCGGUGGCUUCCCAGCAUCCUUCGGUUUCGCCUCCGGUGGCUUCCCUGCGUCCUUAGGUUUGGCCUCCGGUGGCUUUCCUGCAUCCUUUGGCUUGUCAGCGGCUUUGGGUUUCUCCUGUUGAUCCUUUGGCUUGUCAGCAGCUUUGGGUUUCUCGGCUUCCUUGGGUUUUCCGGCAGGCUUGUCGGCAGCUGGUUUGGCAUCUUUUGGUUUGUCAGCCGGUGGCUUCGCCUUCUCAGCCUCUUUUGGCUUAUCGGCGACGGCGGCGGGUUUAGCUUUUUCCGGUUCUUUAGGCUUUUCCGGCUUCUCGACGAUUUCUAUGCUCUGAAUCGCACCUCCACCUUUGUAACAAAGCUUGUCUCGAAUAGCUUCAGGGCUACAACACACCACGAUUAAUUUGACCUUGUUCUUGUCCACAUCAAAGACCUGGUCCCUUAUUUCUAAUAAUUAGUCAAGAAAAAAAUAAUGAAAAGUUAAUUUAAUUAUAUAUACAUCUACCAUGAAUCAUGAAUAUAUAAUCAUACAUCGAAUUGAUUUAGAAUUUUUAGAUUCUAAGGAUUCGAUACUUUUAUAAAGAUAGACAAAAGCGGAAUUCAAUUACUAAAAGAUAGAUUUAUGUAAAACGGAA
rnacentral:lncRNA from 1 species